AUUCCAUGAUUUGGACAUUUUCGAAGCAUAUAUUUGAAGCUCUCCCAAGCUUCAUGAAAGCUCUCUAAUUCAUAUUGUUGGAAGGUGGUUAUGUCAUGCUUGAGUUU
rnacentral:snoRNA from 1 species